rnacentral:rRNA from 1 species
AGAGUUUGAUCCUGGCUCAGGACGAACGCUGGCGGCGUGCUUAACACAUGCAAGUCGAACGGUGAUCUUGAGAGCUUGCUCUUGGGUGAUCAGUGGCGAACGGGUGAGUAACACGUGAGUAACCUGCCCCAGACUCUGGAAUAACCCCGGGAAACCGGAGCUAAUACCGGAUACGACACCAAUCCGCAUGGGUAUGGUGUGGAAAGUUUUUCGGUCUGGGAUGGACUCGCGGCCUAUCAGCUUGUUGGUGAGGUAGUGGCUCACCAAGGCGACGACGGGUAGCCGGCCUGAGAGGGCGACCGGCCACACUGGGACUGAGACACGGCCCAGACUCCUACGGGAGGCAGCAGUGGGGAAUAUUGCACAAUGGGCGCAAGCCUGAUGCAGCGACGCCGCGUGAGGGAUGACGGCCUUCGGGUUGUAAACCUCUUUCAGCAGGGAAGAAGCGCAAGUGACGGUACCUGCAGAAGAAGCACCGGCUAACUACGUGCCAGCAGCCGCGGUAAUACGUAGGGUGCGAGCGUUGUCCGGAAUUAUUGGGCGUAAAGAGCUUGUAGGCGGUUUGUCGCGUCUGCUGUGAAAAUCCGAGGCUCAACCUCGGACUUGCAGUGGGUACGGGCAGACUAGAGUGUGGUAGGGGAGACUGGAAUUCCUGGUGUAGCGGUGAAAUGCGCAGAUAUCAGGAGGAACACCGAUGGCGAAGGCAGGUCUCUGGGCCACUACUGACGCUGAGAAGCGAAAGCAUGGGGAGCGAACAGGAUUAGAUACCCUGGUAGUCCAUGCCGUAAACGUUGGGAACUAGGUGUGGGUCUCAUUCCACGAGAUCCGUGCCGCAGCUAACGCAUUAAGUUCCCCGCCUGGGGAGUACGGCCGCAAGGCUAAAACUCAAAUGAAUUGACGG